GACAGAGUGGUGGCCAGGACAAAAGAGCAUGAUAACACUUGAAGUUUUGGCUGACAGAAGGGUCGGAGUCCUAGCUUGGGUUUUCCAGCAGCAGUGCGGAGACCAAGGCUUUGUGCAAGCAGUUUAUUUGGAAGGUGAUCCUGGGAAAGACCAGAAGGGAAGCGGGCGAUGGUGAUGUUGAAGGAAACCGAUCAAAACUGUUUUCAUCUUGCAAAACUGAAGCUCUGUCCCCAAGAGAGAGUCAGUCCCCCAUCCGUGGGCUGAAUUUGACUCAUCACGGUCCCUCGUG